rnacentral:pre_miRNA from 1 species
GAUGUACUCCCUCCAUUCUGAAUUACUUGUCGCGGGUAUGGAUGUAUCUAAAUGUAUUUUAGUUCUAGAUAUAUCCAUUUCUCCGACGAGUAAUUUGGAACGGAGGGAGUAACAU